GAGCCGCCGCACCACUGCAUUUUUGUGCUCAUGAACUGCUGCACGCUGCACCUCUGCAUCGACCAGUGGUUUGCAGCCCACCUCUGCUUCACGCGACUGUGAGCCGCCACCGCUGCAUGCCACACCUCUGCAUCGACCGACGAUCGCUCGUUUUCAGCCCACCUCUACAUCGCGCGAUUGGGAGCCGCCGGACCACUGCACCUCAUGCUCGUGAGUUGCCGCGCAUGCCUGCACCUCUACAUCAAUCGACGAUUGCUCGUGAGCUGCCACAUGCCCGCACCUCUGCAUCGAUCGACGACCGCUCGUUUGCAGC
rnacentral:lncRNA from 1 species